UUUUCAUAGCUUUUGCCCCAAAAUUUUCACGAAAAUUACCUUGAUGUACCUGACUUUAAAGUCAAGUUUUGAAAAUCGUAUCUACCUACUUUAGAAAAUUUCUCAAGAUAAUUUCCCUCCUUCCUGAUUUGUUUAUUUAUUCAGUUAAUAGGUAAAAUAUAAAUCUGGUGUUAAUAAUAAUAAUCAGUUACUAAAUUUAUCUGGGAAUUCAAUCUCUAAAAAACUCACUCAAGCAAAUAAGUUUCAGUGUAGCUGUUUUGUUAAGUUAUUUUACACUAAUUUUUUGUCAUAUUAAAAUAGCAGAGAAGAAAUAAAAUAUUUUGUGUUUGCCACUCGCCAGUAAAAAUCUUCUGAUUGGUAGGGUACCUUUGUAACUAAUAAAUUGGUGUUUUACCUAGAUCAAGAUCUCACCAUGCACUAUAAUUCUGCUGAAAUAGGCCUUUUUAUUCAUUGGUACAUCUUGCAGCCUUUUCACAGGUUCCUCUGCCGGAAGUAUACCGGUGGCGGCUAUGAUGUCAAUUUUAAGACUCUCUUCCCAGCUCUAGCAAGGUAUAUACAACAGUUCCCGCCUGGAGAAGCUGUCUUUCAAGCUUUGCCUCAUAUCGCUCGGGAAGCCUUGAAUGAUCCAAGGGCUGCCAAUGUUUUUGCAACGAGCAUUCGUAGCUACUUAUCCUCCACAAAGAUUGUGAAACGCACAACGGCUCCAAAUCACCCUCAUUGGAAUGCUAUUUUGCAGCGAGCAGAAGAACUGCACAGAUCAAACUACUCUACAUCAACUGUUUUUGCUAUCGUGAAUGGUGAACCUUCGAAACUUCCACAGCUUUUGAAGACUAUCGUGAGAGAGAUCUGCCUCCGUUUGCUCGUCUGCUGCGUCCGAUGAGGACAAGGCUCUAUGGAAUUUUGUUCCAUGAAAAGCCUUUAAUCUGGAGCCCCAGUUGUUCUGGAGUGGUGUAUGGAAGGGCCAAACAGUCUAAAUGAGCCAACACGAAUUAAGCCUGUGCCUCCCUCUGGUUAGUGUUUCAAUUAAUCGUCAAUAAGUUUAAUACUUUCAAGUAGCAGAACACAUUGACGGUGAAACUAUCAAAGCUUGUAUUUUGACUUUUAAUGGUCUUGAGUUAGCUGUAUGAAUGAGCUGUAGAAGAUGUCUUAUAUCCGUUAUCAAAAUCAUUUUUUAAAAUAAAUCCGGAAGUUUUUAAAAAUUGAAGUUCUUUUGACAUAAUUCUUGGAGCUUGUAUGUUAUUCUAUGGACUUCAUGGAAAACCAGUGCUCAUAGAAAAAUCAAAUGUAGUUCAUAAUUGUGAGUUGUGUCAAUUCUUGUAACUCCUACUGCCUCAGCAAUGCUGCGUGCACUAUGCAAAUGCUCACCGAUCAACCCCUAAAAUUGAGCCUAAUAUCGCAUCGAAAGUUUUUUUGAGAUUAAUGGCGGCUUCUGACAAGUUAAUUUAAGCUUGCAGUUCUAGACUACUCUAUUUUUGUCCUUAAGUCGAUCUUUAUAAAUCUUCUAAAAACUGACUCUAAAGCAUGAGUCUCAAUCCACUCGCAUAUAUCUUGUCGUAAAAUGGUGUUUCUUAAUUGCAAACCACACAUGUUGAGAUUAAUUGAAUUAUUUUACAUCUUCACCUGCACAUAACUAACCAACUAUCUAUUACAUCACUUAUACACCUAUCUCUUAACACAGUUAACUGCAGGUGAAUAAUUAAAAAUCAAAUGUAGCCUUGAACAUCUUCAACUUUCCUGAAAUGGAAAAGCUUCUUAUCCACUAUGGCUGUACAUCAUUGACACAGUCAAUGUGGGUCUAGCUGUCUUCUCAAAAGGAAAAAUGUCAAAUUUAUUUUACCAAAAAGAACUUAACCACCUUUUGCAUAAAAACUUCUUAAGCUUCAAGAAAAUCUAUUAGUAGUGAGCUUACAUACUUUUCUUUGAGUCAAUUGGCUCAGUGCAAAAUUCUGCAUUUUUUCACCACUAUAACUUUAACUGUUACAGCUGCGUAUUUUUUCCUAAAUUUCAGAUCCACAUCCUGGUUGCUUGCUCUUUGGAGCGACGAUAGGACCCAGGACUUACAGAAUGCCCGAUGGCAGCUAUUUGCUCAUGGUAUUUCAUCGCGUUUAAAUCCGGCAAAAUUGAGGCACCUGCCUCAAAAUUUGGUGCUACCUACAGCUGUGAUGUUUUACAUUGUUGUAAGUUAAUUUAUUUUAGAAAUACAUCUCCUCCCAGUUUUUUUUUAAAAACAUAAUUAUAUCCAAUACUGAUCGAACUUACUUUAAUACAUAAUGUAGGUCAUUCUUGAAUUACUUAUUCCUUUUAGUGACAUUUUCAUUUUUGGAAUGACUUUGAUAGAAUGUGAUAAUAUUUAGCAGAUGUAAGAUUUUGCGAGUUAUAAAGGUCUGCAAAAAAUUAAGGUGAAGAUUAGGUAUGGCAGAUCAACGGUGAAACUACCAGACCACUUAUCUCGUUUGCGGUGUUUGAAAAUCUCUGCUCCUAAUUUUUUUUUUUUUUUUGAAGGAGAACAAGUAAAUAUAAUUUCUUGAAAUUUUCACAUUAUUUUUCUUUGCACAGAGAAAAAAAAACAGGGAAGUUUUCAAGAACAAACUUUAAGUAGUUUUCCUUAUAAAAAAUAAAGUAUGACAAGAAGUCUACAAGGUCGCAAACCGAGAUACGUGGUCUGGUACUUUCACUGUCGAGAUCUAAUCUUCCAUAUUAUGAUUAAUGAUAUUACGGUUUUCAUGAAUUUUCCAAUUCUGGAUAUGAAAAAUAAAGUGGGGGGUUUUUCUUUAUGCCUUAUAAUUCUCCGGGAUAUUAAGAUUUACCUUUAGAACAGGUUUUUUCCAGAGAUUCGGCGCUGGAUUCUGAUAAAAUCAAAAUAAUUUCUCUCAUAUUUUUUGAAAAGAUCACUCGCAACUGUAAAACUUUGCCAUUUGCACCCUCAAACUCCUGCAUGUAAUUGUAGAGUAAUUUCUUAGAAAUCAGAAAGUGGGGAAAAAUGAAAAAUCAGUUAAUUUGUGUAGGACCUAGCACCUGCAGCACCAAUGGAACUUUACAGGUAAGGUUCUUUUCGUGCCUGUGUUCAGAAUAGGCCGUAUUUUUAGCAAUGAUAGGCUGAAUUGGACCGUGUUAACAGAAAGGAACCAAGCCACAUCAGCUAUUGCCAAAUUUAAUCCGCUAAUUUAAUUUUUUACAUGAAACAGUUGUGCGGAUUUACGUGCAAAUUUCAGUGAAUUUUCUCCAUGGUACAAAGCAAAUUCCUUAACAUUUUCAAGGGAUUCGCACAAACGUUUUCUCGUAAACAAUUAAAGUGCCCUGUUAAAAUUGGCAAUAACUGAUGUGGCUUGGUUCCUUCCUGUUUAACGCGAUCCAAUUAAGAUCCUUUGGCACCAAUUUCAGAUGAAAUUUUCAGCACUUUUUGGUUUUAAUGAAGUUAUCUCACAACUAUGAUAAAAGAACAUGAUUAUGGAAAAUCAGUGCACCCUUUUUUAUCUGAGCUAUUUUCCUGAACUUUUGUGAGCUCUUUCAAGCACCUACCUACUGACAAAACUGGAAUGCCUCAUUCCUGAGGUACACAUCCUCACUAGAUAAUUCAAGAAAAAAGGCAAAAUCCAAAAAAUUCUAAUUUGCUCUUUAUCCUCUGGCCAGUUUUCAAUCUCGGUAAAUAACAGCCUCUUUUGAAAUUUUAAUUAUUAUAGGACAACAGAAUUUUGGCUACAUGGGAAAUCGAAGCUAUGAUAGCAACAGUAGUGACUUUGCCGACAGUUCCACUUGAAAGACUGGCCAGUCUCCCUUCUGAUCCUGUAGAUUUGCGUGCGGUUCGCAUAGCCACAAUUUAUAUGCGCUCAUUGUGGUCCACAAUCAUUCUCCUCAGUGCAUGCGGCUAUCCCCUUCCCCAGCAAAGGUGAGUCAUUACUUUUUUUGAUAAUUUAUUAUUUUUAUUAUCAUUAACAUUGAAAUUCUAAGUGGUAAUUCAAAACAAGAUUCACGAUGUUUACAGAAUUUCUACAAAUUUACCUCAAAUAAAAAAUAAAUAUCUUAGCACAGCAUGUUACAUAUCGACGGUGAAACUACCAAACCACGUAUCUCGUUUGCGGUGUUUAAAAAUCUACGCUCACAUUUUAUUUUUUUGAAGUAGACCAAAUCAAUAUUCAUUCCUUGAAAUUUUCACAGAAUUUUCUCCGCACAAAGAGAAAAAAUCACAGAAAUUUUCAAGACUGGACGUUAAGUAGUUUUUCAUUUGAAAAAUAAAGUAUGACAGGAAGUCUGCGACGUCGCAAACCGAGAUACGUGAUUUGGUAGUUUCACCGUCGAUAUUAGCAUUCAUUUAAUAUGUAAAACUUGCAAAAACAUUCCUAGCCGCUAAGCUACCUUAUCCUUAGACGGCGCUUUGCACCCUCUUAGGUUUGCUUCGCGAACGUUUGUGAGUUCAUCUAGAUAGAGCAAGCUCAUCUAGGGACUCUCUUCUAUCGAUAUCGGGAAAAUUCAUGACGAUUGGCUCAGUAGAUCUUUAGAGCAAACUGUGACUAAAAUUGAAUAUUUACAAGGUUUAAGUAGGAGUAUUCACAAUUGUAUCAUGUAAUAUACAAAAACUUGGGUCAUAUUUCCAAAAAUAGAGUAGGCUCAUCCAGGGACUUUCAC
rnacentral:lncRNA from 1 species